rnacentral:tmRNA from 1 species
GGGGGCGCACUGGUUUCGACUGGUUCGACAACGCCCGCGGUCGCGUGUCGAGGAUCCUCGGUCACCUCGUCAAUCAUCCGAGGAAGGCAAUUUACCUGCCAACAACGAUUUCGCACUCGCUGCCUGAUUCAACUCAUGUAGCCGUUCGCGCCGGGAGUGUCCGCGGCCCGGCGUGAACGACACUCAGCGGACUGGUCGCCGCCCCGCGCCUCGGGGGAACGCGACGAGACUUUCCGAGGCUGGAUCCGAUGCAGCUCGCCCCCGGGCGGCGGAGGGUCGAGAUACAAAUCUGGGGACACACACGUAGACGCCGCGGUGCGGGGCGUUCCAGGACGCGGGUUCGAUUCCCGCCGCCUCCACCA